GGAAAGACAGGGGAAGGCAACAGUGGAGAAGAACACAGGCAAGGAGUGAAUGAGACAGACAUGAGGUCGGUGAUGGCAUCACGUGGCGAUGAGACCAGUGAUGACAUCAGGAAGGUCUGAGGUCAGCUCAGCUAUAGAACAGCUACUCUGGAGGUGAUUCAGCGUCUUUAAAAUGGAGCUCUUUUCACCUCGCUCACCAAAACACCCUGCUGCCCUACUACUG